rnacentral:lncRNA from 7 species
GAAGAACUCUCCUGGAGCUCCUGUUAGCAGAAUGGAACUGAACAUACCACUCUACCACAACAGUCUAUUUUCUACACUUUGCUCUCAUCUUCCUGCAACCCAUCUUACAAAUGAGACGUAAAAUUGUGGCUCCGGAUGCUGAUGGACCCAACCCUGCAGCAUUUACGCACCUGUUUAAGUUGAAUCAUGUGAGUUUUCAUAGCGGAUUGAAUGCGUGGAAUGGUGAAUAGUUGAAGAACUAUGGCAAUUACUCCAAAGCAGUUUGUACUUCUUAAGGAGCAAUGCAUUAAACUGGGAUGCGCUGUCUGCUCACCGGACAGUUCUGGACAGAAUGCUCUAAAGGAUGGACUUGGAGCAAAUGCAAAGUAAAAUGCGCUCCUGUGGUCAGUGCCUUUAUGCUCAUUCCUUGCUAUUAUACAAGUCCUGAUCAUGCAGAAUUUAGCCCUCAGCAAUGUAGCGGAGUCCCCAGGUUUUCAUUACAGAGCGGCACUUGGAGAUGUUACAAAGCCUCAUUAAUUGAUUACAAAACAGUUCAGCAUGCUGCACUGUUCCUGCGUUGCCUACAGAGCUGGCAGCUUCCUCUCUCAAAGCCCAGCUGUGCGCCCAGGGUCCAGUCCCUGCCUUUAAAGCCCAACCAGCUGAAGGAUGACCUUUCUCUCUGACCUACAUCUUUCAUAGGAAUAAAGCAACAGAUGACUCCAAGCAGCGGCUUCGCAGCUCUUUGUGCAAGCCCCUAGCAAUGGAGCUCCCCAGUGAAAGGCAUCGAGCUUAGCUCCCAGCUCUCCCUGCAAGGGGUUUUCUCAUUGCUGCUGAUAGCAGCGUUGCCGUUGCCUUAUGGGGGAGCAGAGUCAAAUCCCAGCAUGUCUUUUAACACCAGUUACUCCUCAGCAUCUCAGCAAACCGGGCAUCCCUUCCCCUAAGACAGCUUCCAUCCCAUCACACCGUGAACGAUCCCCACUUUUUGCUCAGCAUCCUUCGAGCUUUCCACUCUUGCACGUCACCACCGUGACUGGCAACCGAAACAGAAAGAUCAGACAAAAGAGGCUGAGCCACCACCUGGGACGGAGCUGAAAGAGAUGCAGGAGCAGAUAUCUCCAUCUGCAUUCUUGAGGAUUUGUGAGCAGCGGGAGCCAGCUGCGGUGCUCCCUCAGAUGCAGGGAUCCUGCACCUCACGAGGCCCCAAUGGCACCUGCAAGGUCACCCCUGCUCAGGACACCGUGAGGCUCCAAAUACGGUGAGCAAAAGGAGCCCGGAAAGAAUAAAGCAGAAGGAAAAUGAGUGUUUCCUCAGAUGUAUGCAGAAGGGGUUGCAGAUAUCCCCAGGACAGGACAUUGGCUCUAAUGGGCUCCAUCCACCAUUUAAUCCACAUAAAGGGAGAAGUGCUCCGUGGAGCGCGUGCACAGACCCCCAUCAGACACCGCUGCGACUGCGGACGGGCAGAGCACCUCAGCAUCCCUGCUAGGAACCCCAGGAUGCAACCAGCAGCCCGUCCUGCCCUCAGCAACGUACUUUUGUGUUGAUGCAAAAAGCCGUGCACAACACGGAGGAUGGCAGCUUUCCAAGUGGCCCCAGUUAAUAGCUCCGCUUUGCUUAAUGGAGCCUCCCAUUCAGCCGAAAGAUGCUGUUUUAAAUAUGUAAGCAAUUAGUAUCUCUCCCUCUAUCUCUCUCUCUCUCUCUCUCUCUCUCGCACCACAUCUGUGCUUCUCCUAUGUGCUGCAUUACAAAACCGCCGCGCCCCUCUCCAGCUCGGCGGUGC